UCUAAUAUGGCAGAUAAGUGCGGUGGAUUUAAGCUCCACAUAUAAAGUAUACAACUUUUAUUAGAA
rnacentral:tRNA from 1 species